ACGCCCCAUGGGGGGGGGCAUGCCCCAUAGAUUGGGGAUCACACCCCAUAGAGGGGGGGGUCAUGCCCCAUAGCAUUGGGGAUCACGCCCUAUAGAGGGGGGGUCAUGCCCCAUAGAUUGGGGAUCACGCCCCAUAGUGGGGGGAUCACGCCCCAUAGAGGGAGGAUCAUGCCCCAUAGAUUGGGGAUCACGCCCCAUAGAUUGGGGGGGUCACGCCCCAUAGAUUGGGGGGGUCACGCCCCAUAGAUUGGGGGGGUCACGCCCCACACUUGGGGGUCUCACCCCACGCCAUCGGGGCCCGGUGCCCCCUCCGCUGCAGCCAUUGGGAUUUCUGGGCUCUUUUCCCUUUUUGGGUUCACUUAGCGCUGACAUAACCCCAAAGCUGACCCCAUAGUGGCCCCAUAGCUGCCCCAUAGCGGCCCCAUAGCGGCCCAGCCCCACAGCGCUGCCCUGGGGGUCCCGGCCCCCUCUGCUGAAAGCAGCGGUGCCCAAUGGGGGGGGGCGGGGGUGGGGGG
ensembl:lncRNA